rfam:Bombyx mori DNA, contig: Bm_scaf6_contig5697, strain: p50T/Dazao, build 2, whole genome shotgun sequence.
UUAACUCAAAUUUGUAUGGAGUUGGAGCGUUUGACUACGUUUGCCGCUAGGGUUGCUGUUCCAACUGCAUACAAAUUUGAGUUA